rnacentral:rRNA from 1 species
UACGGGGGGAGCAAGCGUUGUUCGGAUUUACUGGGCGUAAAGGGCGCGUAGGCGGUAGCACAAGUCAGUUGUGAAAUCUCCGGGCUUAACUCGGAAAGGUCAACUGAUACUGUGCGACUAGAGUGCAGAAGGGGCAACUGGAAUUCUCGGUGUAGCGGGGAAAUGCGUAGAUAUCGAGAGGAACACCUGCGGCGAAGGCGGGUUGCUGGGCUGACACUGACGCUGAUGCGCGAAAGCCAGGGGAGCGAACGGG